AUUGAACGCUGGCGGCAGGCCUAACACAUGCAAGUCGAACGAGUGGCGGACGGGUGAGUAAUGUCUGGGAAACUGCCUUAUGGAGGGGGAUAACUACUGGAAACGGUAGCUAAUACCGCAUACCAUCAGAUGUGCCCAGAUGGGAUUAGCUAGUUGGUGGGGUAACGGCUCACCAAGGCGACGAUCCCUAGCUGGUCUGAGAGGAUGACCAGCUACACUGGAACGGAGACACGGUCCGGACUCCUAAGGGAGGCAGCAGUAGGGUAUAUUAGACAGUGGGCGAAAGCCUGAUGCAGCCAUGCAGCGUGUAUGAAGGAGGCCUUCGGGUUGUAAAGUACUUUCAGCGGGGAGGCGUUACCCGCACAAGAAGCACAGGCUAACUCCGUGACAGCAGCCGCGGUAAUAC
rnacentral:rRNA from 1 species